UGGGGAAUCUUCCGCAAUGGACGAAAGUCUGACGGAGCAACGCCGCGUGAGUGAUGACGGCCUUCGGGUUGUAAAGCUCUGUUAAUCGGGACGAAUGGUUCUUGUGCGAAUAGUGCGAGGAUUUGACGGUACCGGAAUAGAAAGCCACGGCUAACUACGUGCCAGCAGCCGCGGUAAUACGUAGGUGGCAAGCGUUGUCCGGAAUUAUUGGGCGUAAAGCGCGCGCAGGCGGAUUGGUCAGUCUGUCUUAAAAGUUCGGGGCUUAACCCCGUGAUGGGAUGGAAACUGCCAAUCUAGAGUAUCGGAGAGGAAAGUGGAAUUCCUAGUGUAGCGGUGAAAUGCGUAGAUAUUAGGAAGAACACCAGUGGCGAAGGCGACUCUCUGGACGAAAACUGACGCUGAGGCGCGAAAGCCAGGGGAGCGAACGGGAUUAGAUACCCCGGUAGUCCUGGCCGUAAACGAUGGGUACUAGGUGUAGGAGGUAUCGACCCCUUCUGUGCCGGAGUUAACGCAAUAAGUACCCCGCCUGGGGAGUACGACCGCAAGGUUG
rnacentral:rRNA from 1 species